CCUACGGGGGGCAGCAGUGGGGAAUAUUGCACAAUGGGGGAAACCCUGAUGCAGCGACGCCGCGUGAGUGAAGAAGUAUUUCGGUAUGUAAAGCUCUAUCAGCAGGGAAGAUAAUGACGGUACCUGAGUAAGAAGCCCCGGCUAACUACGUGCCAGCAGCCGCGGUAAUACGUAGGUGACAAGCGUUGUCCGGAUUUACUGGGUGUAAAGGGCGCGUAGGCGGAUGUGCAAGUCAGUCGUGAAAUACCGGGGCUCAACCCCGGGGCUGCGAUUGAAACUGCACACCUUGAGUAUCGGAGAGGAAA
rnacentral:rRNA from 1 species